CAACAUACCGCAUCCAAGAUACUACUUUCCUAAUUGCACUGACAAAUUUAAUAGCAGUACUGAAUAAAAUUAAUAUAUUGAAUACAUAAAUUAACAAUUUUGUAGCGAGUCGCGGCGAAUACCUUGUUGAUCUUGGACGUGUAAGAGUGACAGAAAAGCCGCAUGGACAGCUCGGAAAGUUACAACUUGACGUUAGAAAUUGAAAGCGGUUUGUUAGCGUCCAGUUGACACGACUCCAAGAUGCUGUCGGCAGAUAACGGGAUCGAACCAACAACUAUCGGAAGAUGAGUCAGUAUGUUAAACUGCUUCACCAUCAAGGUCGUAAACAAUAUUUUCAAGAUCACGUAUAAAGGUUUUUUGUUUAUACCGUAACUUGUACAGCCAGUCACAUAGAUGAAUAGAGAUGACCAAAUUAUAACAUUCUGUUUUAUACAUUUUACUCUAACGAACCUAAAAAUCUACGUAUGAUACAAAUUUUAUACUUGUUUAUCCUGAACAGUCGCCACUGUUCUGUACUAUUCUUGUUUUUCGAUGUGAAGAUUUAUUAUCUGCCGGUAAACUUCCAACUGCCUAUUUAUGAGAUAGGUCCAGAAAGAAGUGUAAAACCGGAUAGUGGAUCGCCAAGAAACGCAACGAGGUCAAGGUGAGGAUUUAGAACAAGGACAACACGGCUAAUUACUCUCACACAUUGUCGAUAGUGUUGAUAUUUGUCUAACACCUUUUCAUGUGUUAUUAUGGGCCCAUUGUUAUUAAUAAAUUACAAUUAGUGACUGUAUAAUAAAAAUCAAAACAU